GUCACCUCCCACCACCACCAUUCAGACGGCUCUGACAGAUAAACCUUCUUGUUUUACCAACACCUCUUCAUACCAGUUAUACCAGAAACAUAACUUCGAUGAUGACCCACAAGAACCUCUGUCUGUUCAGCCAGGAAGACAUCAACAAUGAAGGAAGUUAAGGUUUCCAGCAGUCGAGUCACUGGAGCAAAGCCCCUGGCUGCGUAAUCCGCCUGAGUUUAGAAGCGGACUAAACCAUUCAGGUGCCUUCUAUCCCAGGACGGUUGUGCUCUAUUAAUCUGCAGGAGGGAGGAUAAAUAGGUAAAAGGU